AACGAACGCUGGCGGCAUGCCUAACACAUGCAAGUCGAACGAGAUCUUCGGGUCUAGUGGCGCACGGGUGCGUAACGCGUGGGAAUCUGCCCUUUGGUUCGGAAUAACAGUUGGAAACGACUGCUAAUACCGGAUGAUGACGAAAGUCCAAAGAUUUAUCGCCAGAGGAUGAGCCCGCGUAGGAUUAGCUAGUUGGUGUGGUAAAGGCGCACCAAGGCGACGGUCCUUAGCUGGUCUGAGAGGAUGAUCAGCCACACUGGGACUGAGACACGGCCCAGACUCCUACGGGAGGCAGCAGUGGGGAAUAUUGGACAAUGGGCGAAAGCCUGAUCCAGCAAUGCCGCGUGAGUGAUGAAGGCCUUAGGGUUGUAAAGCUCUUUUACCCGGGAUGAUAAUGACAGUACCGGGAGAAUAAGCUCCGGCUAACUCCGUGCCAGCCGCCGCCGUAACAC
rnacentral:rRNA from 1 species